GCCAGCAUAGCUCAGUUGGUAGAGCACUUGAUUUGUAAUCAUGAGGUCGUCGGUUCGAUCCCGUCUGCUGGCUCCA
rnacentral:tRNA from 1 species